UACGAAGGGGGCUAGCGUUGUUCGGAAUUACUGGGCGUAAAGCGCACGUAGGCGGAUUGUUAAGUUAGGGGUGAAAUCCCGGGGCUCAACCCCGGAACUGCCUUUAAUACUGGCAAUCUCGAGUCCGAGAGAGGUGAGUGGAAUUCCGAGUGUAGAGGUGAAAUUCGUAGAUAUUCGGAGGAACACCAGUGGCGAAGGCGGCUCACUGGCUCGGUACUGACGCUGAGGCGCGAAAGCUAGGGGAGCAAACGGG
rnacentral:rRNA from 1 species